GACGAACGCUGGCGGCGUGCCUAAUACAUGCAAGUUGAGCGCUGAAGGUUGGUACUUGUACCAACUGGAUGAGCAGCGAACGGGUGAGUAACGCGUGGGGAAUCUGCCUUUGAGCGGGGGACAACAUUUGGAAACGAAUGCUAAUACCGCAUAAAAACUUUAAACACAAGUUUUAAGUUUGAAAGAUGCAAUUGCAUCACUCAAAGAUGAUCCCGCGUUGUAUUAGCUAGUUGGUGAGGUAAAGGCUCAACAAGGCGAUGAUACAUAGCCGACCUGAGAGGGUGAUCGGCCACAUUGGGACUGAGACACGGCCCAAACUCCUACGGGAGGCAGCAGUAGGGAAUCUUCGGCAAUGGACGAAAGUCUGACCGAGCAACGCCGCGUGAGUGAAGAAGGGUUUCGGAUCGUAAAACUCUGUUGGUAGAGAAGAACGUUGGUGAGAGUGGAAAGCUCAUCAAGUGACGGUAACUACCCAGAAAGGGACGGCUAACUACGUG
rnacentral:rRNA from 1 species